AGAUGGCUUGGUGGCCCGAAAGGGAAUCGGAACACAGGUGCUGCAUGGCUGUCGUCAGCUCGUGUCGUGAGAUGUGGUUAAGUCCCGCAACGAGCGCAACCCUUAUCAUUAGUUGCUACGCAAGGGCACUCUAAUAAGACUGCCGGUGACAAACCGGAGAAGGUGGGGAUGACGUCAAGUCCUCAUGGCCCUUAUGGGUAGGGCUUCACACGUCAUACAAUGGUCGGUACAGAGGGUUGCCAAGCCGCGAGGCGGAGCCAAUCCCACAAAGCCGAUCGUAGUCCGGAUUGUUCUCUGCAACUCGAGAGCAUGAAGUCGGAAUCGCUAGUAAUCGCAGGUCAGCAUACUGCGGUGAAUACGUUCCCGGGUCUU
rnacentral:rRNA from 1 species